AUUUUCCCCUUCUCCUUUACAUGUUUUUAAGACGUUCUAAAAUAAACAAGUUUUUUUCAGUCCUGUAGGGAAAAGAGAAUUAUUUUUCAAUCCUGAGCAGCUGUUUCUUUUUGUGCAGAUAAGAAGGCCAGCUAAGUGCAUAUCUAUCACAAAUAACCUGGGGAUGUGACAUCUUCACAUGAGCUAGUAAGGUUGCGGCUAAGAAAGGAACCUUGAAGAUGUCCUCAAGAGUUAGAAAGACAAAUAACACUUUUCACAUAAGCAGUGAGCAGGAAAAUCAUUCUUUCCAAAAGGAAGAUGGUUUACAUAAAGGCAUCUGGCAGAAAAAAAAGACUCCAGGAACUUUGCCAAUGGUUACAGUGCAAAGGGAGUCCCAGAACUCCGCCAGUCCGACUGAGUCGGAUUUACUAAUGCCCGGAGAGAACCAAGGCAGCAGAAGCUUUUCCAGUCUCAGUUGCAGAUUACAAACAAGGAUGCUUUCUGACCUGACCUUGAGAAACAACUGUAGUUCCUUGCAGAAGAUGAAAAAUAUAAAAUCUUCAUUGCUUGCUCUGGGCCAAAGAGAUUUCUGCCCAGCACCGAGAGCAGGCUGCUGUUAGCCAUGGCGUGCUACAACUCUCAAGAAUCACCCCUCCGAGCCCUCUAUGAGGUAUGUCCUCCCCCACAUUAGAGAGACCACUGGAAUCAGCCAUGGUCAGGAGUCUUUGAAGAUGGUUCAUACGUGUAUCCUUCUGUCCUCACAACAAACAAAUAAACAAGCAAACAAAAACCCUCACAAGUCCUGGCUUCAUUCUUUAAAAAAUAUAUCCUUUACAUUAUGAAAAGAAAAUUAUUCCACAGAAAGUUUGAAAAAUAGUAAAGUGACCCAUAAUCACACCAUCCUAAGACAACCAGCACCUUCAAUUUUGUAGAUCACCUUCUGUCUUUUAUAAUAUGACUAUUUUACAUAGGUGUAAGCUUACUGCACAUGUAAUUGCAUACAUUUUAAAAUCAAUGUUAUAAUUAUUCAUUUAUCAGGUGGUUAACAAAACAAUUGAUGAGAACAAACUGGGAGUCAUGGACCAAGAGUUAACCCUGU
rnacentral:lncRNA from 1 species